UACGUAGGGGGCUAGCGUUGUCCGGAAUCAUUGGGCGUAAAGCGCGUGUAGGCGGUCCGGUAAGUCCGCUGUGAAAGUCGGGGGCUCAACCCUCGGAUGCCGGUGGAUACUGUCGGGCUUGAGUACGGAAGAGGCGAGUGGAAUUCCUGGUGUAGCGGUGAAAUGCGCAGAUAUCGAGAGGAACACCUGCGGCGAAGGCGGGUUGCUGGGCUGAUACUGACGCUGAGGCGCGAAAGCCAGGGGAGCGAACGGG
rnacentral:rRNA from 1 species